rnacentral:rRNA from 1 species
UAGGGAAUCUUCCACAAUGGGCGCAAGCCUGAUGGAGCAACACCGCGUGAGUGAAGAAGGGUUUCGGCUCGUAAAGCUCUGUUGUUGGAGAAGAACGUGCGUGAGAGUAACUGUUCACGCAGUGACGGUAUCCAAACAGAAAGUCACGGCUAACUACGUGCC